rnacentral:tRNA from 1 species
UCCUGGGUCGUGCAGAUGGUUAACAUGCUCGGCUGCUAUCCGAGAGGCUGGAGGUUCAAGUCCACUCAGAGGAU